rnacentral:rRNA from 2 species
GCGUGUGUGAAGAAGGCUUUCGGGUUGUAAAGCACUUUCAGCGAGGAAGAAGGCCUCUGGGUUAAUACCCCAGAGGAAGGACAUCACUCGCAGAAGAAGCACCGGCUAACUCCGUGCCAGCAGCCGCGGUAAUACGGAGGGUGCGAGCGUUAAUCGGAAUUACUGGGCGUAAAGCGCGCGUAGGUGGCUUGGCACGCCGGUUGUGAAAGCCCCGGGCUCAACCUGGGAACGGCAUCCGGAACGGCCAGGCUAGAGUGCAGGAGAGGAAGGUAGAAUUCCCGGUGUAGCGGUGAAAUGCGUAGAGAUCGGGAGGAAUACCAGUGGCGAAGGCGGCCUUCUGGCCUGACACUGACACUGAGGUGCGAAAGCGUGGGUAGCAAACAGGAUUAGAUACCCUGGUAGUCCACGCCGUAAACGAUGUCGACUAGCCGUUGGGACCUUUAAGGACUUAGUGGCGCAGUUAACGCGAUAAGUCGACCGCCUGGGGAGUACGGCCGCAAGGUUAAAACUCAAAUGAAUUGACGGGGGCCCGCACAAGCGGUGGAGCAUGUGGUUUAAUUCGAUGCAACGCGAAGAACCUUACCUACCCUUGACAUCCAGAGAACUUUCCAGAGAUGGAUUGGUGCCUUCGGGAACUCUGAGACAGGUGCUGCAUGGCUGUCGUCAGCUCGUGUUGUGAAAUGUUGGGUUAAGUCCCGUAACGAGCGCAACCCUUGUCCUUAUUUGCCAGCGAUUCGGUCGGGAACUCUAAGGAGACUGCCGGUGACAAACCGGAGGAAGGUGGGGACGA